GCAUACUCCUUGAGGUGGAAGGUAGUUGAUGAAGGUGAUAUUACAUUUUCACUAAUGCAACUAUCUAAAUUGAACGGCCUUGAGAUUGCAGAUCCGCCUUUGCAAUUUGAUGAACUUGUGAGUGACUAUUUGGUUCAUCUGGGGAACCAAGAUUUCGUUCAUGUUAAGACUGCCACUAACCAAGAAUGUGAUGAGGUUCAACAUCUUUGUAUCACCAAGUUUCAAAUUGUUCAAGAAGAAAGUAGACAUGUGAUUGAGACAUUACAUUCAACAGUCCUUCCUGUGGAUAUUGAGGCCAAUAGUUGGUUCACACUUAUGUUCGGCUUUGCUCUGUAAGUUUUCUUCGCAUUUCUCGUGUAUUCAUCAAUAACAUUAAUUUGUAAGUUAGAUUUUGUUGUUUAUGAUAAAUAUGACUAUUAGAGAAUUUGCGGAUUAUGAACCCAUAGAAGGGGAGACUGCAGCAAGCAUGGAGCAGCCAAAACAAGAAGAUGAAAUCCCUUUGGAUGAGAGUUCUUUUAUGUGGGAGGUAAAAGGAAUGUGUUUACAUGAAGUCUUUUUAUUCAUUUAAUGACCAUGAAUCAAGAGACUCAAUUUUUUGCAUCUAUAAGUGUUUUUAUUAGUCUUUGGGUCUAAUUUCUCAUAAUAUAUAAUUGGAUUUUGUAGGAAGAAGCCAAGCUGGAAAUAGCCUCAAUGCAGCAUGAAAAAGCCAACCCGAAAGAUGCAAACGGAAUAAACAAAAACAGAAGACAAAAAGAGAAAAAGAAAAAGCGGAUGGAAGGUAGAGGCAGUAGAAAACAAUCUGUUAUUAUUAAGUACCUGGAGCAGGGUAUUAUUAUUGAGGCAUUUUACUGCCAUAUUUAGUGUUAUAGGGGAAAGAGAUAUUAUUAAAAUUGUGAAAUGUUGUUUUAACAUAAAAGCAAGGUUAAUUUUAUAUUAAAAGGCCCGCUACUG
rnacentral:lncRNA from 1 species